CGUUACCCCAAGACCUGUCUGCGGGCGCUCUGGGGACCAGCCUGGUCGGCGGGCGGGCGGGCGAGCUCCCGGCCAAUCCAAACCCACGAGUCCCGCCUGGGCAGCCCCACCGGUGGACCCGCGCGGUCACUGCUGGAGCUUCAGGGUUAGGACAGCCGGGGCACCGUCUGUGCUGACCUUGAAAUGGAAUGAAUGCUUCCAACAAUAGAAAGGUAGCGCGGGAAAUCCCCCAGGAUUGCCUGGGCUCCGGGGAUUUCCCAGCAGAACUGAGUGGCAAGAUCUAGUGACUAAGGUCUGGGCACCCCAUUUUACGUUCUCUUCAGCCUGGGCACAAGUUCCAGCCAACGAGUCAUCCGGAAGUAUCCUUCUUUUGUGUAAAAAUGGAAUUUCCUCGGAACUGUUCUGGUGGAAGCCCUUACUUGUCCUCAACCACUUACCUUGUGGUGGCAUUGGGGUCACUGCUGAUGGCCAGGACUGGCAGCUGGGAAGAAAAGCAGGACACGGCGAGGAGAUGUGUAAACUGGACUCCACGAGCAUCUGUGGCUGUGUGUCACAAUACCCAGUGAAAACUCAGUCACUGAUGCUGUGUCAUCUCCGCUUCCCAGACACCACUAGAAUCCUGCUUUGGCUCACUGUAACUGGAUCUGUACUGGGAAAGUAGUUUCGGCCAUAUAAAGUUGGCACUGUACAAAUUGUCAAAUGGGAGCUGAUGAGGGUCUUUGGGUGGUGAGCGUUGACAUAUGAAAAAGAAGAUGAGGGAGAUAUGUGGGUUAAAAUUGAUCAGGUUCAUCACUUAGAUGUAAGAGUGAGGAAAAGGGAAGUCCAAGAAGAUGCUCAGGCUCUGACUGAGACAAGCUGACUGGUUCAUUCACUGGGGCAGAGUGUAGAUGGAGAGAAGGGGACAGAGCAGGGAAGGGGACAGUAAUCGCAAUGUCCCUGUGAGAUAAGUGGCUGAGGAUUCUACAGAGCAAUAGAAAAGCAAAAGCAGUUUUAUUGUGUGUGUGUGUGUGUGUGUGUGUGUAUGUGUGUGUGUGUGUGUGUGUGUGUGUAUGUUGUUAGCUCCCAAAAUUUAAAAAAAUAGAAGAGCUGGGAAGACGGUUGAGAGA